rnacentral:lncRNA from 1 species
UACCUUGCCAGGAGUUAUCUGCUGGAGAUCCCCAUAUUUCUCUACUUUGGGAGCCUUCCUGUCUCCAGAAAAUAUCCCUCUGUGGCUCCAAAGGUCUCAGUCUCAGGGUGAUGUCCUGGCUACUUUUCUUUUGCACCAUAAAUGAAAUGACAGUGAAGACAUCAACCUCGCCAUGUUGGAAAACUGCCUAAGAUGUUUCUUGGAACUGUGGCCAGUCCCAGGAACAGAAAGGCAUGAUGUUCACAGCUAAAACUUCCUCACAGCGGCCUGCUGUACCUCCUCAUGCCUGAGAAUUGCUCUGAGGAAGGACUCAUUUACCACAUUUGCACUGCAGAAGUCAACACCCAGCGAUCAAAGGACAUCCUGGAAAAGUCAGUAUAGAUCCUGAACCAAAAACCUCAGAAGUGAUUCCAGGCUGCUGCCCAAGAGCUGACAUGCAUACAUUUGUUCAUCACUCAACAAAUAUUUAUUGAGUGCUAUCUCUGUUGUAAACACUGUACUGGAUGUGAAUGUCCAGCUGCAGAAGAAACAGACCCAAGCCUCCGGGAGCUGACUGUUCCCAGGAGGGGGCCCUUGGCUCUUUGCAGUG